AAUGUGUCAAUUUGAGAUCUCUGACUUUCUAAGUAAGAUGUGACACUGCCAGAAAAUAAGUAAAUUCAGAAGUCCAGUGGGAGGACUAAUGCCAUGGAGAACCAUGGCACACCUGGUGAAGCCUCUGCUCCAAAGGCUCACCUUAAUGUCCAGCCCUCAGAGGAAGGUCAUCUGAUGGCACCCACCACCAAUGAGAUGCCUGAGGAGCUUUCACCACUCACUGACUACCUGACCGAUCUAAC